rnacentral:lncRNA from 1 species
UGAGUUACGUAUACCACGUCUUCAGAUAGACCACCACACUGAACUUCUCUUCGGAAAUCUCAUUGCCUUGGAGUGGUGUCAUUAUAAAGGAGAAGAGUACAUCUGCCAUUACGUUAAGCUACUUGAUACUCUUGUUGCCAAACCCAAAGAUGUGGCUCUCCUCAUUAAAAAUAAAUCAUUAAAACAGACAGAGAUGGUGCUUCAGUGAAGAAUCUGAUUGACAAGCUUUCGGCAGAAACUUCUGAAGAAUAUUCCAUUUACCUCUACAAGCAGCUGGAUCAACACUACCAGAAUCCUGGUUGAAAAAUAGCGCAUACUUUAGAGAGGUAUAUUUUGGAAACCUUUGGAGAAGUACUGCAACUGUUAGUGCAACUGUCUUGCUCCUCUCCACUCUUGUACAGACAAUUUGUGCAGUCCUUUCCUUGCGCUAGUACUCCAAGGGGACCAAGUUAGCCCCAAUCCGGUGUCAUUUUAUUUCUCUCAUUGUUGACUUUCGUUGUAUUGUUGUGUACUUUCCGUUUCCUUUGCAGUUUUUCAUUGUACUUCAACUCAUGGGCUUUCUUUGUAUUUAGUAUUCAUGACUUUGUAAUGGAUGCUGUCUUCACUAUCAAGUUCAUCCUGCAGAAUUCAACAAAUCUCCAUCGUAAAGAGUCAAAAAUUAUCUUAGGAAAGCAAAAAUUGAUAGUGAAGAUUAUCUUAGGACUUGAUACUACUCGAAAAUCAACUAACUUACUUCAUUGUUGAGAAACAGUAUGACAAGAGAUAUUACCCUACAUUUCUUCAGCUUAUCUAUAACUACCCUGCAGCGGAGGCAAAACCUCAUCCAAGGGAAGUAAGACAUUUCACUGAUUUGGUAAGGUGUUCUAUAUUGUUGAGAAAAUGAUGAUGAUGGUGAUGAUGAUAAGAUCAAUAGUGUAAAAGAAAAAUCCAACUGCUUUUAGCAGAAUUCAAGGUUGCCUUUCUAUGGUUGCACCUGUUGUCAUAGUACUAGGCAUUCAAAUCAACACAAAGAUCAUGAUAACAAGUAAAAUACUCAUUAAUUUGCUCGCAAAACAAUAAUAAUUAUUUUCAAGAGUAUUUUUAUUUUAAAAUAUAUAUAAAUAAUUUUUAAUAUCAACUGUUAAAUAAUAUUUUUCCUUACUUUUUUAUUUAAGUCAUUGAGAAUGUCUAUUAAUUUGAGUUAUUUUGAAUCUUUAUUACAAAGAAUAUUUUUAAUUAAAUUCUUUUGUCAAAACAAAAAAAUACAUAAAAAGGGCAAUGAAGACAUUGAUCUAAGAAAUGCUAUUUUUUUUUUUCUUUUAAAAUCCAAAUCUUUCUAACUCUUACGAAUAUUGAUUUUAAUUAUUAUAUGAUUAAAUAAAAAUUAGUUUUUGAAAUUACCCCCGCAACAUGAUGCUGGCGGAAAAGCUAUGUACGUUACUCUCUCUCUCUCUUUCGUCCUUUGACAGCUUGUUCAUUCCAGCAAAGAAACAACAGUGGGUGUGGUGGGGAUGGGACUUGGGAUUUUGGUGAACGAUGAUAAUCAGAUGUGGGGACAUUUUAUUAUAAAUAUUAUCUGAGCACCCUAUGGCAUAGCCCAUUGUAAUGAAGUGACUAAUGGCACGUAGGUGGGCCUUCAUUGAGUUCUUGGACUUGAUUUUUUUAAUAUUGUUUUUUAUAUUUUAAAGGGUUGAACAUCAAUUUUCUUUAAAAAAUACGUGAGCAAUAAGUCACCGGCUGAGGCAAGUAGCAUUUCAUCUACGAGCCUAAAUUUCUAACCACUAUGUGGAGUUGGUUGGAAAAUCAGGUUAAUAUUUUGUUUUUUCUUGAUAAAUUCAAUUUUUUAGCCAUUUGAAUUCAAAACACCUCAUGAAGAUUCUUGAAAUACUUAAAAAUCAAUUUAUCAAUCAAAAAUACUUUAAAGAUAUCCAAAAAUCCAAAAUUAAAUCAAGUUUGAUCUGACUUCCUCAUCUUAGAUAUGCUUUCAAAUAAUAUUGAGACUCUAAACAACAACAAUUAAGCCUUUUUUAUUGUAUGAAAUCUAAAAACAUGAAGAAAACUACUUUGAUGGUCGAUAAUAGUGUGAACAAUGACCUUCUUUUUCACCGCUAUACUUUAGCAAUCUCUCUCUCAUUUCUUUAAUCAAGGACUGAAAAUUAACACAAAUUAAUUUUUGUAUCAAAAUUGAAUAUGUGAUUUGAAGGGACCUAAAUUAUAUAAAUUAUAUUAUUUUUAAAGUUUGAGAACCUAAAUGUAUUUUUCGUAAAAACCCUAACAGGCCAUCUAUCUUUUGAUGUAUUUUUCAUUUCACUCCUUUUUUUCAAUUCCAUAAUCUUCCAUCUAUUUCACCUCUAUAUAUAUCAUCUCAUCAGCCUCUCGAGAGUCGACUUAUUUUAGAUAGAAAAAUAUUACUACCAGUCAAGAUCGAGGGAGCAAUGAGCUGGAUCCAUCUUUGCUUCUUGACAAUGACCCAUGCCGAGAAAAUACAGAGGAGAUGGAGAAUUAAUUAAUGGAGAGCAAUGCAAUCAGCUUUCAAAACGAGAGUAGUUUAUCUUGCCCUCCCUCUUGAAGCUUCAAAUGAAAUGGAUCUUUAAUGCCGUCGUUGUAAGGCCAAACUCGGUAACUAUACCGAGAUAUGGAUCAACUUUUUUUUUUUUUUUCUAAAAACAAAUUAAAAUUUAAAAUGCUAUUAUUUUAUUAAAAAAAUAGACAAUAUUUUAACUAAGCAAAGUUCUUAUCUUCUUCGAGUUAUUGAGUUAAACCAUAAGUCAGCUAGAUAUUACUUACUAAUUUAUCACUUAUCUUUUUGCACCAGGUUGGACAUAAGUUUUUUGAAAUAUAUAAAAAAAAUUUAGAUCAUCAGAAACUUUGAAGCAUUAUCAUUAAAUUUAGUAUAAUUGUUUAAAUUUAAAAAAUCUUAAUUUGACUAUUUUUUUAAAUAUUUAGUUAGUGUUUCAAGCUCGCAACAUGAAUUAUGUAUUCAAUUAACUUUGAUUAAUUUUUUUUUUAUUUGAUGAUAGAAAACAUAAAAAUUGAUUUAUCAUUAAAUCAAUACUCUUAGAUAAAAUUCAAUAAAAAUCUCAAAUUAAAUGAUGCAAUUAUAAAAAAAGGGGCAAAAGAUAUAAACAAAAGAGCCAAAAAAAUCUUGAUCCGAAUCUUUAAUUAAUAUUUAGCUAACUUUUAAUUUAAAUAUUGAUGCAAUGGACUUUACAUAUUGAUUUUUUUUAAUUUAUUAUAUGAUAAGACAAAAACUAAUUUACUAUUAAUCCAAUAUCAAUGAUAAAAUUUAAUAAAAAAUUCAUACUAAAUAAUGAAAUUUAAAAAAAAAAAAACAAUAUAAAAAAAUUAAAAAUCCCAACCAGACUUUUUAAUGAAUAUUUAAUUAACUCAUUAAAGCUACAAUUCUAGUUAUAAACUUUAUUGGUUUUAUUCAAGUUUUUAAUUUUAUUAUAUAAUAAAAAAUAAAAAAUUAAUUUAUUAUUAAGAAAACUAAGAUUGAAUAAAAACCCUUUAAUGAUAGGAGUAUGAAAAAAAAAUAUCCAAGAAAAAAAGCCCAGUCACCCUCAGCUUGUUCAUAGGAGCCAGGAAUGCGAACCUGAAAGUCGUCUCUGUUUGAUUUUAAAAAAAUAACAGCCACUGGCUUCUUUGCUACUGAAUUCUCGAUCGAAGAAGCAAAAUUAAAAAAAAAAAAAUCGAAUCCAAAACAGGAGUUAGUUGAAUUUGUUUUGACAAGAGAGAAAAGGAUAGUUAAACACAAAACAAGGAGAGAGAGAGAGAGAGAUGAGAGAUUUUUCAAUGGGGAACUUUUGACGAAAAAAAAGAAGAUAUUUUGAUGUAAAUUGCGGGGUCACAAAUUGAUUAUGAAUAUUAAGUUCUGUUUGGUAACGCAGUCUUCAAUUCUCCGUGUAUUUAAGAAAUACUGUUUUGUUUUGUUGGGUGUUUGAAAAUAUAGUUAUAAUUGCUUUUCAAAUAUAUUUUUACUAAAAAGAAUAUGUUAAUUUUUAUUUUUAAAAAAAUAUUUUUGAGAUUAGUACAUUAAAAUGAUUUGAAAACAUCAAAAAUAUAUUAAUAAAAAAAAAUUAAAUUUUUUAAAAAAUACUUUUAAAAUACAGCGCUAAACACGCUCCCACAGCAAACAACCAGAACUCCAGGUUGAAAAAUAGCGCAUACUUUAGAGAGGUAAUUUUGGAAACCUUUGGAGAAGUACUGCAACUGUUAGUGCAACUGUCUUGCUCCUCUUCACUCUUGUACAGACAAUUUGUGCAGUCCUUUCCUUGCGCUAGUACUCCAAGGGGACCAAGUUAGCCCCAAUCCGGUGUCAUUUUAUUUCUCUCAUUGUUGACUUUCGUUGUAUUGUUUGUGUACUUUCCGUUUCCUUUGCAGUUUUUCAUUGUACUUCAACUCAUGGGCUUUCUUUGUAUUUAGUAUUCAUGACUUUGUAAUGGACGCUGUCUUCGCUAUCAAGUUCAUCCUGCAGAAUUCAACAAAUCUCCAUCCUAAAGAGUCAAAAAUUAUCUUAGGAAAGCAAAAAUUGAUAGUGAAGAUUAUCUUAGGACUUGAUACUACUCGAAAAUCAACUACCUAAGGGCGGAGUCAUGAAUUUUUUUUAUCCUGGACUAUUAAAUAAAAAUAUAAAUAUAUUUUAAGAUCGAUUAUUAAUUCAUGUACAUUAAUUUUUAAAAUUAAUAUUAAAGUUUUAAUUCAAAUACAUUAUCCAAAAUAUUAAAAAAUAAAUUUGAAAGUAUAUAAAAUUAAGACGAAAGUAAAAAUAAACUCACUAUUAAAGUUACAUCCUUCGAUGUUUUGUGGAAUAUAAUUCAUCUAUAAUCGAAUCUGAAUCGAUAUUGUAACAACCCCUCAACCGGGAUAAAAUAACAAUCUCAUGUCAACUGGAAAAUAAAGUAAUUAAAUUUUUUUCCUCUUUUAAUUCCUUCUUCCUUCACUUGAUUCUUCCUAGAUUAGUGUUUUAUAAGUUGGACUUUGUAAGUUUACAAGGUUAUUUCUCACUUUUAUUUUUUUCUUGGAAUUUUUUUAUGUUUUUCCCUUACUUUUUUCUAUUUCUCUCUCGCCUUUUCUUUUCUUUCUUCUUCUAUUCUGCUUCUGCUCAGUCGGCAACAUAUAAAAGGAAGGAGGAGCUGAUUUGUUUUAUUUUUUAAUGGCAAAUAACCAUUUUACUCUUAAUGAGUCAUUUUGCUUUUAUUUGACGGUCUUUUUUUUGUUAGCACUACCAAGCUCCGUUCAUCCUAAACUCUUAACUAGAUUUUAUUCAAUAUAUUUUAAGAUCCCUCGUAAAAUUUCAACUCGAUCUGAUGGUCGGAUUGAAAAUUACAUCCAAUAACGUAAAACUGAUCAAAUUGUGAUUUUUCAUCAAAUUUCUAAAUUUCUCCAAAAAUUCUGAAAUUUUAACCCAAGCUAAAGCAUCAUAUUAGAAGGCUCCACGUAAAUUUUCAGAAUUUUUUGAUAACUUAAUUGAGAAUUAUAAAUUUUUUUACAUAAAACUAGUUAAAAAAUAUUGAUAAAAUCUUGACCUAGGCUAAAGCCCACCCCAGCCUUUACCAUGCCUCCGCCUAUUUACUACCUUACUUAAUUGUUGAGAAACAGUAUGACAAGAGAUAUUACCCUACAUUUCUUCAGCUUAUCUGUAACUACCCUGCAGUGGAGGCAAAACCUCAUCCACGGGAAGUAAGACAUUUCACUGAUUUGGUAAGGUGUUCUAUGUUGAUUGAGCCUAGUCCUCGAAACCUUGACUUUCCUAUUGAACUCAAAUAUAAGGCAACCACGCUCGUUAAGGCAGGAGUUAAGUUUGUAGUUGUUGAUAAUAACCAUCUGGUUGACAUAAGAUUUGAUAAUGGGGUGUUGAAAAUACCACGCUUGGUCACUGGAAAUUAACAUUUUCGAAUGUACAAUUCGAAAUAUUAUAUGGCCUUGGAGCAGUUCCAUUACUAUCCAAAUGCAACUAAUUACAUAUGCGAUCACUUGUCAAGACUGAAGAAGAUGUGGAUUUGAUUGUCAGCUGGCUAGAGGACAACGCUAUGGUACCAGAUUUGAUCAACCAACUUUGUGGAGGAUUUGGACAAAUUUACACUCGCCAUCGUCAUGUCCGUGAAGGAUUAAAUGCUUUUUUUUUUAAUGAAGAAUUUACAAGGACUAAUUAACACAACCAUAGAAGAGUAGUAACCUAGAAAGUAGAAACUUAUUGAAGAAAAAAUGAAUUAUAUAGGCAGCCAUGUUAGAGGUCUUAAGGAAUGUUGAAUAAGGUGCAGAAAUGCUGAGCAUUUUCCUCUUCAUCACAUAAACAUAUAUUUAGGGCAACGAACAGGUAUCUUCAACUUCCAUGGAGCCCUCGGGUCCGCAGUUAUUAGUAGAACCAAAAACCAACAGAGUUAAACUAAUUAAUUGAAUUUUUAUCGAUGUAACUAUGAGAUUAAUAUUUUAUCAAUGAUGAGAUCAAUAGUGUAAAAGAAAAAUCCAACUGCUUUCAGCAGAAUAUAACACUGCAUUAGACUGACAAAAACUACUCGGAAAACAAUCCUGCUACUACAGUAGCUUCAAACCGCCUGCUUCGAGCCUAUAGAAGCAACUGUAUUGAAAUAAACACCAAUUAUGGAGAACAUAUGGGAAACCAUAACCAGAUACUGACUGUAGUAAUAAAACUAGAUAAGCUGCUUUGGACCUAGAAGUGAAAUUAUUGAACAUACAGUCUGUAUCAAAGUGAGGAUCAGCAGGACAGCUGCAGCAACAGUUCCGGUACCUCUCCAAAGAUUGCUGAAAUAUACAAGUUUCAAGGUUGCCUUUCUAUGAUUGCACCUGUUCUCAUAGUAGGCAUUCAAAUCAACACAAAGAUCAUGAUAACAAGUGAAAAAUUCAUUAAUUUGCUCGCAAAGCCGGUUAAUCAAAUCGGCAACCAUGGCGUUGUUUCCUAGCCAGUUAUCAAUCACCCCCACUUUAACCAGCAAAUCCACAUCUUCUUCAGUGUUGAUAAGAUGGUCCAUUAACAUAAAGUAAUUGCAUAUGUAAGUACUAUAUGGGUAGUGGCACUGCUCAUAUGCCAUGAGGUUUCGUGUCACAUAUUCGAAGCUCUGAUUUACUUCAAAGCGUGGCAUUUUCAACACUCCGUUGACAAAAUUUAUGUCGAGUACACAACUGUUUUCAGUUGCCUCAAACUUCAAUCCUGCUUUAUGAAGCAUGGUUGCACUGUAUUUCAGUUUGACAUUGGCACUAGGACGACGAGGUAAUAUCUCCAGGGACUCAUUCAACAUAGCAUAUCUCAGAAAAUCAGUGAAAUGCUUUAUCCCUACUGAGUUGACUUUUGGUCUCUGUGAAAUCCUGUAGUAAUGUCCAAAGUAGAAGGCGACAAGCUCAGGAAAAGUCAGGCUAGCUUGUGUUUCAGGGUCUGGAUAGGUUUGCUCGUAUAUUUUCUCCAGAAUGAAAUAAGGUAGCUGAUUUUCAAGUAGUAUCAAGUCCACUUGUAAACCAAACAUCAUCCGAGGCUCAGGUAAUAUAGGAACUUCUUCACAGAAAAGGUUAAGGAACUGCAACAAGAAUUCGAUGACGAAUACAGCAUCCAACAGAAUCAUCUUUAAAAAUCACAGCUACGAUUGAAGUUAUAACAGCCUCGAAUUUCCAUUUCAUUCUUCUGAACUAUGGUCACAAGAUCGUCCAAUGUCACCUUCUUCCCAUCCAUGAAUUCUGCUAAAUAUCUCAAUUUCUGCUCCUCCAUUGACACUAGUUCCUCAUGGCCACAGUGAGCAGGGCCUAGUGAAACUACUUGUGGGGUGUAGGCUUUCGGUUCUAUGCUUCGAAGUGAGCGGGGUACCUCGUAGAUACAGUGCUCGGGACAUUUUCCAGGUUUGAACCUUGCUAUCCCAUCUGCUAGAUCUUUCAGAACAUUUGAAGCACUUGCCGCUUCAAUCUCCUUUCCCGUGUUUGAAGCACUUGCCUUAUCAAUCCUGUUUUCAUUAUUUGAACGUGUUGCCAUGCCAAUAUCCUUAUUUGAAGCACUUGGGGUAUUAAUAUUGUUUUCCAUUUGUCAACAGAUUUUUGUCCUGGAGAGACAGCCAAUUGAAUCACUGGCAAUAAAAAUAUAUCUCCAAAUCAAGUGUACCAUGGUUGCUACAAUCUUACAUUCAUUUCAAUUCACAUUUAAAACGAUUUAUUUUUGUUUUCCAGCCACUCUUAACAAGUUUUAAGACCAGAUCAAACAAAUCAAAACAAAACAACUGUAUAAGAAACUAUUUUCAAGGAAAGAUCAUGAAGUUGAAUGAAAAAUACAGAGCAAAUCAUGGGAGAUUACAUGUGUAUUAUGGCUAUUGUUAAUUUCCCAUCAUCCUGAUCCAUAGAUUAUAUAGAUGUGUCAUGUAGAGUACUUUUUAACAUUAUCUAUGAUAUGAUCUCGGCCAUGUGGAUCCGUAAUUUUAUCAUUGUUUUGAUUCAGCUCUAGCAAUUUAUUUGUUCAGUUUGUUCUGUGUUUAGUUUUUUUGUUUUGUUUUGUUUUAAUUAUGAAUGUGAACCUCCACUGGCCUUAAUUAAACCAAAUUGAGAUGUGGGAUUAAGUUAUGUCAUGGGAAGUAAGAAUUCUGCUUCAAGAUUGUCAAUUGAAUGUUUUAUGAAAAAAAUGUGAAUUCUCUAUUUUAUCAUGUAAUGAUCUAUCUGGGCAUUUCAUUGAUUUAUUAUUAUUAUUAUUGGUUGAAUUGAAGAUGAGGCAGAAUUCAUGAGAACUAAGAACAUCAUCAUAUACUAAAUUCUUUUAUUCUAUAUAUAUAUAUAUAUACACUAUUGUUUUUUGGUCCUCCAGCUUUAGCUUUCAAUUUGUUUUUCUAAGGAGUCAUAACCUAAUUUUGUAAAAUUUAACAACAAGAAAACCUAAAAAAAUAUAAGAAAAUCUGGACAAAACAGAUUAAAACACACCCAAGUGCAUAAAACCACGAAAACAUAACUUUUAAGGCCUAAUUUGAAAGGAACAAUAGUUAGGGAAACAAACUAUAUAAUUGAUUGUCGUCAAUUAACAACAAAAAAACCUAACAAAAUAUAAGAAAAUCUGGGCAAAACAGAUUAAAACACUCCCUAGCGAAUAAAACCACGAAAACAACUCUUCCUAGCUAAAGACCAUCUCUUUUUAGUGUUGUUCUGCAAAAAGCCAAAACUGUUUUCUGCCAAGUAUAGAACCAUUUUGGAAUAUUUAUUGCUGAAGCAAUGCAAUUGCCUUUUCCGAAGGAAAGUUGUGUGCUGGGAUAUUUCUACGUACACAAUUCCUUCGGAAGUAGUAUGUAUGGAUAUCCUACACAGCUUAUCAGCUGUGAUCUUACGAGAGAAUCUUAAUCUUUAGUUAUAAUGGAGCAAUUAACCUCGCAGGGUAGGGGAGAUCGGCCAAGUAAUCGAGAACUCAUGAGGGUUAAAGCCUAAAGGACGAACUUCAUUUAUCAUUAAGAAGUAAGAACCGCUAAAUUAAGGCUUAAUUGAAAACUUUAAACAAAUAUAGUGAAACAAAAGAUGAACAUGAACAGAAAGAAAAAAGAACAGUAAAAGUAGCUAGUGCGCAAAGAACCUGAGUGCCUUUACCUGAGGAAAGCAAUUGUUUUGUUGUAAGCAGCACGCAGCCCCUUCCCUGGAUAUUGCUAUACUGAUCUGUUGAAUGCAGCCUCCCUCUCUCACUCUCUAUGUCUCCCUAAUAUGUAUAAUAAACAAGUAGUAUUCUUCUCUGUCUACUUGUCAUUGUUUCUCUCUCGUUUGGAAAUUACCGUCUUUUGAUUUAUUUUUUAGCUUCCAUCCAUGGCUUUUCAUUUUUUAGCUUUUUAAAGGGCUGGACAUCAUUUCUUU